GGGUUGUGAGGUUAAGCGACUAAGCGUACACGGUGGAUGCCCUGGCAGUCAGAGGCGAUGAAGGACGUGCUAAUCUGCGAUAAGCGUCGGUAAGGUGAUAUGAACCGUUAUAACCGGCGAUUUCCGAAUGGGGAAACCCAGUGUGUUUCGACACACUAUCAUUAACUGAAUCCAUAGGUUAAUGAGGCGAACCGGGGGAACUGAAACAUCUAAGUACCCCGAGGAAAAGAAAUCAACCGAGAUUCCCCCAGUAGCGGCGAGCGAACGGGGAGCAGCCCAGAGCCUGAAUCAGUGUGUGUGUUAGUGGAAGCGUCUGGAAAGGCGCGCGAUACAGGGUGACAGCCCCGUACACAAAAAUGCACAUACUGUGAGCUCGAUGAGUAGGGCGGGACACGUGGUAUCCUGUCUGAAUAUGGGGGGACCAUCCUCCAAGGCUAAAUACUCCUGACUGACCGAUAGUGAACCAGUACCGUGAGGGAAAGGCGAAAAGAACCCCGGCGAGGGGAGUGAAAAAGAACCUGAAACCGUGUACGUACAAGCAGUGGGAGCCUCUUAAUGGGGUGACUGCGUACCUUUUGUAUAAUGGGUCAGCGACUUAUAUUCUGUAGCAAGGUUAACCGAAUAGGGGAGCCGAAGGGAAACCGAGUCUUAACUGGGCGUUAAGUUGCAGGGUAUAGACCCGAAACCCGGUGAUCUAGCCAUGGGCAGGUUGAAGGUUGGGUAACACUAACUGGAGGACCGAACCGACUAAUGUUGAAAAAUUAGCGGAUGACUUGUGGCUGGGGGUGAAAGGCCAAUCAAACCGGGAGAUAGCUGGUUCUCCCCGAAAGCUAUUUAGGUAGCGCCUUGUGAAUUCAUCUCCGGGGGUAGAGCACUGUUUCGGCAAGGGGGUCAUCCCGACUUACCAACCCGAUGCAAACUGCGAAUACCGGAGAAUGUUAUCACGGGAGACACACGGCGGGUGCUAACGUCCGUCGUGAAGAGGGAAACAACCCAGACCGCCAGCUAAGGUCCCAAAGUCAUGGUUAAGUGGGAAACGAUGUGGGAAGGCCCAGACAGCCAGGAUGUUGGCUUAGAAGCAGCCAUCAUUUAAAGAAAGCGUAAUAGCUCACUGGUCGAGUCGGCCUGCGCGGAAGAUGUAACGGGGCUAAACCAUGCACCGAAGCUGCGGCAGCGACACUAUGUGUUGUUGGGUAGGGGAGCGUUCUGUAAGCCUGUGAAGGUGUACUGUGAGGUAUGCUGGAGGUAUCAGAAGUGCGAAUGCUGACAUAAGUAACGAUAAAGCGGGUGAAAAGCCCGCUCGCCGGAAGACCAAGGGUUCCUGUCCAACGUUAAUCGGGGCAGGGUGAGUCGACCCCUAAGGCGAGGCCGAAAGGCGUAGUCGAUGGGAAACAGGUUAAUAUUCCUGUACUUGGUGUUACUGCGAAGGGGGGACGGAGAAGGCUAUGUUGGCCGGGCGACGGUUGUCCCGGUUUAAGCGUGUAGGCUGGUUUUCCAGGCAAAUCCGGAAAAUCAAGGCUGAGGCGUGAUGACGAGGCACUACGGUGCUGAAGCAACAAAUGCCCUGCUUCCAGGAAAAGCCUCUAAGCAUCAGGUAACAUCAAAUCGUACCCCAAACCGACACAGGUGGUCAGGUAGAGAAUACCAAGGCGCUUGAGAGAACUCGGGUGAAGGAACUAGGCAAAAUGGUGCCGUAACUUCGGGAGAAGGCACGCUGAUAUGUAGGUGAAGUCCCUUGCGGAUGGAGCUGAAAUCAGUCGAAGAUACCAGCUGGCUGCAACUGUUUAUUAAAAACACAGCACUGUGCAAACACGAAAGUGGACGUAUACGGUGUGACGCCUGCCCGGUGCCGGAAGGUUAAUUGAUGGGGUUAGCGGUAACGCGAAGCUCUUGAUCGAAGCCCCGGUAAACGGCGGCCGUAACUAUAACGGUCCUAAGGUAGCGAAAUUCCUUGUCGGGUAAGUUCCGACCUGCACGAAUGGCGUAAUGAUGGCCAGGCUGUCUCCACCCGAGACUCAGUGAAAUUGAACUCGCUGUGAAGAUGCAGUGUACCCGCGGCAAGACGGAAAGACCCCGUGAACCUUUACUAUAGCUUGACACUGAACAUUGAGCCUUGAUGUGUAGGAUAGGUGGGAGGCUUUGAAGUGUGGACGCCAGUCUGCAUGGAGCCGGCCUUGAAAUACCACCCUUUAAUGUUUGAUGUUCUAACGUUGGCCCCUGAUCGGGGUUGCGGACAGUGUCUGGUGGGUAGUUUGACUGGGGCGGUCUCCUCCUAAAGAGUAACGGAGGAGCACGAAGGUUGGCUAAUCCUGGUCGGACAUCAGGAGGUUAGUGCAAUGGCAUAAGCCAGCUUGACUGCGAGCGUGACGGCGCGAGCAGGUGCGAAAGCAGGUCAUAGUGAUCCGGUGGUUCUGAAUGGAAGGGCCAUCGCUCAACGGAUAAAAGGUACUCCGGGGAUAACAGGCUGAUACCGCCCAAGAGUUCAUAUCGACGGCGGUGUUUGGCACCUCGAUGUCGGCUCAUCACAUCCUGGGGCUGAAGUAGGUCCCAAGGGUAUGGCUGUUCGCCAUUUAAAGUGGUACGCGAGCUGGGUUUAGAACGUCGUGAGACAGUUCGGUCCCUAUCUGCCGUGGGCGCUGGAGAACUGAGGGGGGCUGCUCCUAGUACGAGAGGACCGGAGUGGACGCAUCACUGGUGUUCGGGUUGUCAUGCCAAUGGCACUGCCCGGUAGCUAAAUGCGGAAGAGAUAAGUGCUGAAAGCAUCUAAGCACGAAACUUGCCCCGAGAUGAGUUCUCCCUGACUCCUUGAGAGUCCUGAAGGAACGUUGAAGACGACGACGUUGAUAGGCCGGGUGUGUAAGCGCAGCGAUGCGUUGAGCUAACCGGUACUAAUGAACCGUGAGGCUUAACCUUACAACGCCGAAGGUGUUU
rnacentral:rRNA from 1 species